rnacentral:rRNA from 1 species
UGGGGAAUAUUGCACAAUGGGGGGAACCCUGAUGCAGCGACGCCGCGUGAAGGAAGAAGUAUUUCGGUAUGUAAACUUCUAUCAGCAGGGAAGAAAAAGGACGGUACCUGACUAAGAAGCCCCGGCUAACUACGUGCCAGCAGCCGCGGUAAUACGUAGGGGGCGAGCGUUAUCCGGAUUUACUGGGUGUAAAGGGGGCGCAGACGGCCAUGGCAAGCCCGGUGUGAAAGGUGCGGGCACAACCCGCAGACUGCACUGGUAACUGCCUGGCUGGAGUGCCGGAGGGGUAAGCGGAAUUCCUGGUGUAGCGGUGAAAUGCGUAGAUAUCAGGAGGAACACCGGUGGCGAAGGCGGCUUACUGGACGGCAACUGACGUUGAGGCCCGAAAGCGUGGGGAGCGAACAGG